rnacentral:rRNA from 1 species
CAUGCAUGUCUAGUACAAACUAAAUUAAAAGUGAAACCGCAAAAGGCUCAUUAUAUCAGUUAUGGUUUAUUAGAUCAUUAACAGUUACUUGGAUAACUGUGGUAAUUCUAGAGCUAAUACAUGCAAUAUAAACAUGAACCUUUUAGGAACAUGUGCUCUUAUUAGUUUAAAACCAAGCGAUUUUUUUCAAAAUCGUUAUAAUGGUUGAACUCUAGAUAAUUUGCCAAUCGUAUGGUCUUGUACCGACGAUAGAUCUUUUAAAUGUCUGCCCUAUCAACUAUUGAUGGUAGUAUUUAGGACUACCAUGGUUGCAACGGGUAACGGGGAAUCAGGGUUCGAUUCCGGAGAGGGAGCCUGAGAAACAGCUACCACAUCUAAGGAAGGCA